AAAUAUGAAGUAAUAUUUUACAAUUUAAUUUCGACUUAAAUCUUAGGUUUUAAAUAACCCAUAUUCA
rnacentral:tRNA from 2 species